CAAAAACAUGGCCUCUUGAUUUAUUAAUAAGAGGUUUGACCUGCCCAGUGAAUGGGGAUUUAACGGCCGCGGUACUCUGACCGUGCAAAGGUAGCAUAAUCAUUAGUCUUUUAAAAGGAGGCUGGAAUGAAGGGUUUGACGAGGAAUUAACUGUCUCAUUUUUUUUGGAUUUAAAAUUUAACUUUUUAGUCAAAAGGCUAAAAUUUUAUUGGUAGACGAGAAGACCCUAUAGAGCUUUAUAUUUAUUUGAUUAUUUGUAUUAUAUUAUUUAUUAUUAUUUUAGGUAAAUAUUUUGUUGGGGUGACAAAAAUAUAUAAUUAACUUUUUUAUUUUAAUUACAUUGAUUUAUGAAUAUGAGAUCCAUUAUUAUUGAUUGUUAGAUUAAGUUACCUUAGGGAUAACAGCGUAAUCCUCUUCCAGAGUUCAUAUUUACGGGAGGGCUUGCGACCUCGAUGUUGGAUUAAGAUAAUAUUUAGGUGUAGCCGCUUAAGUAAUAAGUCUGUUCGACCUUUAAAUUCUUACAU
rnacentral:rRNA from 1 species